rnacentral:rRNA from 1 species
UACGAAGGGGGCUAGCGUUGCUCGGAAUCACUGGGCGUAAAGGGUGCGUAGGCGGGUCUUUAAGUCAGGGGUGAAAUCCUGGAGCUCAACUCCAGAACUGCCUUUGAUACUGAGGAUCUUGAGUCCGGGAGAGGUGAGUGGAACUGCGAGUGUAGAGGUGAAAUUCGUAGAUAUUCGCAAGAACACCAGUGGCGAAGGCGGCUCACUGGCCCGGUACUGACGCUGAUGUGCGAAAGCGUGGGGAGCAAACAGG